ACGUAGGUGGCAAGCGUUAUCCGGAUUUAUUGGGCGUAAAGGGUGCGCAGGCGGAUUGUUAAGUUCGAGGUGAAAGCGUUGGGCUCAACCCAAUAUAGCCUUAAAUACUGGCAAUCUAGAGUGCAGAAGAGGGUAAUGGAAUUCCAUGUGUAGCGGUAAAAUGCGUAGAUAUAUGGAGGAACACCAGCGGCGAAGGCGGUUACCUGGUCUGUAACUGACGCUCAGGCACGAAAGCGUGGGGAGCAAAUAG
rnacentral:rRNA from 1 species